UCUUUCCUUACUUUCCAUAACUUCCUGUUGAAGUCCCCUCAGAGAGGGGAAAUCCUUCUAAUGCCCCCCGUGUUCUCUGUAAGACACAGCUCUUUGUGGUAAAUCCAGAAGUGUGCCCGUUCCACUUGCAGUCUGUGAUACCACCAAAUCCAAGACCCACAAGACAGCAAAUGCCACACUUCCUGCUUACAUAUGUGAAAUUUAAUACCCUCCUGACCAUUUUUGUUCUGUGUACUCUGACUGCACGCUUUUCUCUUCAAAUCCCAAGCUAAAUUUCUUCCUGUCUCUUUUCUUGUGCAGGCAAUCUUCACUUCUUUCCUUCAUCAAAAACUGAAAGGCAGUACCAGCUCCACCUGGCUAUCAGCUAUGUGGGAGGUCUACAAGCACCAUACUUUGUAGAUGAAAUGCAGCUGAGGAGGGUCUGCAGACUGGUGAAGAAGUAAGUGUUGCUGCUGUGUAGAGAGAGCACCUUCUACAUCUGUGAGGAAGCACUGGAGAAAGACCAGAAAAUGUUAAAGUACGGGGUUGGGCCUUACCUGCUGCUCAGAGACAGAUUUCAGCUACAUCAGAAGAUGUGAACAGAGUGAUAACUCUGAUCCUCAGGACAUCAGAAGAAAAAGCUGCUAUUCCUAGCAACAAUACCUUCAUAUGCUUCAAGGACAGAGAAAAAAGUAGCAGUAUUCAGGGAAUUCCUACACUCUGCCAUUUGGGAUACAUAGUAAUUCUGGGAUGCAACGGAUCAUCUUAAAGGCACGGGGCUUUGGAAGGCAUAGUAGUCCUUUGCAUUAGACUAUAGAAGAACGUCCAAUGCCGCUGUAUGCCAACUUCACCAUAGGAUCAGGAUGAAGAUAACUUGUACGGAAUUAAUCAAGGCUCCAUUGAUAACUAUUAAAUAUUCAAGCUUGUAAGAUUUUUUUCUGGUUAAUUUUCUCUGAGUGUAUCAGUAAUACUGAAGGUUUUGUGUUCUGUGGUUGGAGGAAUGUGACUUUUAGAGUUAAUGGGGUGAACACAUUAAUAAUUUGGUCAAGAUUCAUUUUAUAUGGAUGGUCUUUCAGUAAGGACAGGGGGAAGAACAGCGCUCACUUCAUGUACUAUUUGAUUGAUAAUUGCAGAGAGUGAUUUGAAGUAUUCCUCAAGCUCACUUGCAAGCUCAACUGUUUGAACACAAAUGUUAUUGUCAGUGCCAGUAGCACAGAAGCAAGUCUCUUACUCCCUUGUAGUGCAGACAAUGCUAAAGCAUGCCAGUGUGUGGUUAAGUAGGCUAAAAAUAUAACUAUUCUGUCUGUCUGCAGCUCUUUAAGUCUAUACUCCAGCUGCAUUCAGACUACCUGAGGGCGCUUUCAAAGAGCCUCAAGCACAUCCAUAUCAUGGGACUUCCCCACAGUGCUUGAGGUUUGCAGUCCCCUGAACAAGAACUGAAAACCACUGCUGAUGUCCUGGACACCAGCUCUCCCCUAGUGCCUCUGCUCUCCUUUCCUGCUG
rnacentral:lncRNA from 1 species